UACGAAGGGUGCAAGCGUUACUCGGAAUUACUGGGCGUAAAGCGUGCGUAGGUGGUUUGUUAAGUCUGAUGUGAAAGCCCUGGGCUCAACCUGGGAAUGGCAUUGGAUACUGGCGAGCUAGAGUGCGGUAGAGGGUAGUGGAAUUCCCGGUGUAGCAGUGAAAUGCGUAGAGAUCGGGAGGGACAUCUGUGGCGAAGGCGACUACCUGGACCAGCACUGACACUGAGGCACGAAAGCGUGGGGAGCAAACAGG
rnacentral:rRNA from 1 species